GCCAUGGAGUGAUGACAUCGGAGCCCAGACACCAAACUCAAGCAAAUCUGUUACCAUUUGAGGACCUCCAGUUUCCAGGAGCAUUGGAUAUAGUGAAUAGGUGGGUAGAAUACCCACAAAAUACACUCAGACACGUUGUGAACUGGAGGAUCAGCAGGAAAUUCUACUUGUCCACUCAAAGGCUUUGCAAUUGAACUGUCUGCCAGGAGCACAGCUUCAUCGUG